UACGUAGGUGGCAAGCGUUGUCCGGAUUUACUGGGCGUAAAGAGCGCGCAGGCGGUCGUUCAAGUCGCGUGUGAAAGCCCCCGGCUCAACUGGGGAGGGUCACGCGAUACUGAUCGACUCGAAGGCAGGAGAGGGUAGUGGAAUUCCUGGUGUAGCGGUGGAAUGCGCAGAUAUCAGGAGGAACACCGAUGGCGAAGGCAGAUCUCUGGGCCGUAACUGACGCUGAGGAGCGAAAGCAUGGGGAGCGAACAGG
rnacentral:rRNA from 1 species